CUCUUUAGCUUGGCAUUUGAAUCGGCUUUGCUGUUGCGAAGUAGAGUGGCGGCUUCGGCUGCCGAGGGUCGAUCCAUUUGGGAAAUGUUGUGUACUUCGGUAUGCAUCUCAAUUGGACCUGAUAUCAGGCAAGAUUACCCGCUGAACUUAAGCAUAUUAAUAAGCGGAGGAAAAGAAACUAACAAGGAUUCCCCUAGUAACGGCGAGUGAAGCGGGAAGAGCUCAAGCUUAAAAUCUCCGUGCAAGUUUUGCGCGGCGAAUUGUAGUCUAUAGAGGCGUGAUCAGUGUGGGCGCUUGGGGCAAGUUCCUUGGAAGAGGACAGCAUGGAGGGUGAUACUCCCGUUCAUCCCUGAGUUGCUCGUGCGUACGAUCCGUUUUCUUUGAGUCGCGUUGUUUGGGAAUGCAGCGCAAAGUAGGUGGUAAAUUCCAUCUAAAGCUAAAUAUUGGUGCGAGACCGAUAGCGAACAAGUACCGUGAGGGAAAGAUGAAAAGAACUUUGAAAAGAGAGUUAAAGAGUACCUGAAACUGCUGAAAGGGAACCGAAUCGUUUCCAGUGUCUAUAAUCCGUGGUAUAUUUCAUUGGCGAGUGUGUGCGUGCGUGUGCUGUGGCAGCGGCUUUUUUGGCUGCGCUCGGCGUGUGUGCUGUGUGUGCUUGCUGGUGCCCUGUGCUGCGGUGGGACGUCAAGGUCAGUUCGUAUGCUGCGGGAAAUGGCCGCCGAGGAGGUAGGGCUUACGCUUGCGUUUGUCUGUUAUAUCUUGGUGGACGAGUAGUCGCGGUUGGGACUGAGGUGCCUACAACGUGUUUUUGAGUGGGCCUGUGUCUCUGUGUGCGCCGUGUGCGGAUAGCUUGCUAUGCGUGUGUGGUUGUGUGUGGAUUGAUGUGGGUUUUAACUUGUUGCCGUUCGGGACGUUGACGAAAUGGAGCGAUUUGACCCGUCUUGAAACACGGACCAAGGAGUCUAACAUGUGUGCAAGUGUUAGGGUGUGGAAACCCCAGCGCGAAAUGAAAGUGAAGGGCAGCGUAAGUUGUCUGAGGUAGGAAAUGCUGCGGGCUUCGGUCUGCGGUGUGGCACUAUCGACCGAUCAUGAACCUUCGUGGUGAAAGAUUUGAGUUUGAGCACAUAUGUUGGUACCCGAAAGAUGGUGAACUAUGCCUGAGUAGGGUGAAGCCAGGGGAAACUCUGGUGGAAGCUCGUAGCGAUUCUGACGUGCAAAUCGAUCGUCAAACUUGGGUAUAGGGGCGAAAGACUAAUCGAACCAUCUAGUAGCUGGUUCCCUCCGAAAUUUCCCUCAGGAUAGCAGCAACUUAUUUACGAUAGUUUUAUGAGGUAAAGCGAAUGAUUAGAGGAUUCGGGGAAGAAACUUCCUCGACCUAUUCUCAAACUUUAAAUCUGUAAGACCUGCAGGUUUCUUAAUUGAACUUGUGGAUGUGAAUAUCAAGUUGCUAGUGGGCCAUACGGGGUAAGCUCGUCUGGCGAUGCGGGAUGAACCGAACGCAAAAAUAAAGUGCCAAAAUGCUCGCUCACCUAGAUACCAU
rnacentral:rRNA from 1 species